UACGGGGGGGGCAAGCGUUGUUCGGAAUUACUGGGCGUAAAGGGCUCGUAGGUGGCCAACUAAGUCAGACGUGAAAUCCCUCGGCUUAACCGGGGAACUGCGUCUGAUACUGGAUGGCUUGAGGUUGGGAGGGGGAUGCGGAAUUCCAGGUGUAGCGGUGAAAUGCGUAGAUAUCUGGAGGAACACCGGUGGCGAAGGCGGCAUCCUGGACCAAUUCUGACACUGAGGAGCGAAAGCCAGGGGAGCAAACGGG
rnacentral:rRNA from 1 species